rnacentral:rRNA from 1 species
GGUGCGAGCGUUAAUCGGAAUUACUGGGCGUAAAGCGUGCGCAGGCGGUUAUGUAAGACAGAUGUGAAAUCCCCGGGCUCAACCUGGGAACUGCGUUUGUGACUGCAUAACUAGAGUACGGCAGAGGGAGGUGGAAUUCCGCGUGUAGCAGUGAAAUGCGUAGAUAUGCGGAGGAACACCGAUGGCGAAGGCAGCCUCCUGGGCCAGUACUGACGCUCAUGCACGAAAGCGUGGGGAGC